GGGCGCCGUUGGGCGAUACGAGACGUCGUCCACCCGCGGGCAGCCCCAAGGUGAUUUUGACCUUUCUCGCUACCGCGAGCUGGCCGGAGGCGGACCCCGCCGAAUUUUGGAUUAGCCCCAGGUUCAACAGCUUAUCUUUCUGAACCUGUCGCGGAGGAGCGGGGCCCGCCGAGGUUCUGUGCCCUCGUCGCCCGGCCGCGUACGGGGCCAAGAUGACGUGCCCGGCCGCGGCCCGGCCCGGCUAGAUUGUCACCCGCACCACACCCCGCCGCCGGGACUUCAGACAGCUGAUAAGUGUCUCGGGAAUUGGAAAACCUGAGAUCUCAUUUGGACUUAGAAAAUCUCUUCAUAUGUAUGAUUUCCUCCGUGUUCACCAUACCUGUUUUAGCUUCCUCACGUUACUCUAGGUGAGAAUGAGGAUUGCGUGUAAAACAUACUGCACUUCGGACGUUUUGCAUGGUCCCAGAAUGAUGGUAACAAUGGCUACUCGUACUUUUUGAAAAACAACAAUUCCAUGAGUUUUUAAAAUUAAUGAAGUGUUUUUAUGUAUUUUAGUGUAAUCUAGUUAUAUUUAAAACAUAAAAGAAU
rnacentral:lncRNA from 1 species